rnacentral:rRNA from 1 species
GAUGAACGCUGGCGGCGUGCCUAACACAUGCAAGUCGAGCGAUCUUCUUCGGAAGAGAGCGGCGGACGGGUGAGUAACGCAUGGGUAACCUGCCCUGUACACACGGAUAACAUACCGAAAGGUAUGCUAAUACGGGAUAAUAUGCUUUUAUCGCAUGGUAGAAGUAUCAAAGCUCCGGCGGUACAGGAUGGACCCGCGUCUGAUUAGCUAGUUGGUAAGGUAACGGCUUACCAAGGCGACGAUCAGUAGCCGACCUGAGAGGGUGAUCGGCCACAUUGGGACUGAGACACGGUCCAAACGCCUACGGGGGGCAGCAGUGGGGAAUAUUGCACAAUGGGCGAAAGCCUGAUGCAGCAACGCCGCGUGAGCGAUGAAGGCCUUCGGGUCGUAAAGCUCUGUCCUCAAGGAAGAUAAUGACGGUACUUGAGGAGGAAGCCCCGGCUAACUACGUGCCAGCAGCCGCAGUAAUAC